UUCUUCAUGUUCCAUUUAUAACAGAGAAGGGAAUUGCCCGUAAAGGAUCUCUCGCUUUGAAGUAUGGCCUUACCUAGAGGCAUACAUCGAAGAUGUUGCCAAUGAGUAGGCUAGAGAAUUGCAGGAGACUCUUGAUUUGAUCAUUGGAAACUAUAGUGGUGGCAAUCUAGUAGCAUCUUUGCUUGCUUAUAAAUUAGGAGUUACUCAGGGUACCUGAAUUCAAAUACGCACUGGUAAAGUUUGAAAUCAAAGUACUCGAAUUCAGAUAUAUACACUGAGGCUCUAAUCCAAGAUGUAUUGGUAAUUGACCAAAGCUCUGAGCUUUUCAAUAUGUAUUGGUAAUUGAUCAAAUC